rnacentral:antisense_RNA from 1 species
CUUCAGCGAACCGAGCCACAGCGGCCGGUCCCGGCCCUGCCCGUAGGUGUCGAUCAGCGCCUGCGCCUC